rnacentral:rRNA from 1 species
UACGUAAGGGGCGAGCGUUGUUCGGAAUUAUUGGGCGUAAAGGGUGCGCAGGUGGUUUUUUAAGUGUGUCUGUCAAUUUCGGGGCUCACCCUCGAACCUUGGACGCAAACUGGAAGACUCGAGUCCGCGAGAGGUUAGUGGAACUCCUGGUGUAGCGGUGAAAUGUAUAGAGAUCAGGAAGAACACCUAUGGCGAAGGCAGCUAACUGGCGCUGGACUGACACUGAGGCACGAAAGCUAGGGGAGCAAACGGG